rnacentral:tRNA from 1 species
AAUGUUAUGUCUGAUUAAAGUAAUAAAUUGUAAAUGAUAUAUAUAUAGAGAU